rnacentral:rRNA from 1 species
UGGGGAAUUUUGGACAAUGGGCGCAAGCCUGAUCCAGCAAUGCCGCGUGCAGGAUGAAGGCCUUCGGGCUGUAAACUGCUUUUGUACGGAACGAAAAGCCUCUCUCUAAUACAGGGGGGUGAUGACGGUACCGUAAGAAUAAGCACCGGCUAACUACGUGCCAGCAGCCGCGGUAAUACGUAGGGUGCAAGCGUUAAUCGGAAUUACUGGGCGUAAAGCGUGCGCAGGCGGUUUUGUAAGACAGUGGUGAAAUCCCCGGGCUCAACCUGGGAACUGCCAUUGUGACUGCAAGGCUGGAGUGCGGCAGAGGGGGAUGGAAUUCCGCGUGUAGCAGUGAAAUGCGUAGAUAUGCGGAGGAACACCGAUGGCGAAGGCAAUCCCCUGGGCCUGCACUGACGCUCAUGCACGAAAGCGUGGGGAGCAAACAGGAUU